rnacentral:snRNA from 1 species
UUAGCGGUUUCUAUGAUUGGUGCC